rnacentral:rRNA from 1 species
AUGGCGCCAGCUGGUAGGUUGGUCGUACAGGUUGCAGGAGCGGACCUGGAGGACCUAUAUUGCCGAGGUACCACCAUGGCCUUUGUGGUCCUCAGCUUUGAUUCCCAGCAGUUUCGCACGAGUGUCAAGUACAAGAAACGUAUGUUCUCCCUAGAGUGGGAGUGGGACGAGCGAUUCUACUUCUACCCCCUGUCGUCUUCAUAUAAUGUUCAUAAUCUUGUUCUUGAAGCGAGUGUGUAUAGCACGGACGAAUCCUUCCCCGGUCAAAAUUCUUUCCAUGGCAAGGCCACAAUAAAUAUGAGCUCAUUCUGGCCGUUCAAUCCUUCUACACGGCCAUCCCGGUAUCCUCUGGAAAAGCGUUUCAUGCUCUUCCCUGUUGUGUCAGGGAAAUUGGAUCUAAAUGUAUACUAUGACCCCCCUGACUUCGACAGUGAUAGGGAGGACUCCAUCAGAGGCAAUUGGCUCCUUCAUGGCAACUAUCCAGCCCCAGUGGGGAUGUGUGUGGAGGUCGUAAGUGCUCAAAACCUCAGGCCCAAGGACGACAGAACUUCUGGUUGGACUUGCGUCGAGGUUUCCUUCGAUUUUUUCCGGCUCCGCACCGCAAACUGUGAGACAGAUGUGAAUCCGGUGUGGAACCAGCGCUUCUACUUCGACAUGUGGGAACCAUCUAAUCUUCAUCUCCUUAAUAUUGAAGCAUAUGUUUACCGAGUCGACACUUCGUUCAAACGUUCCAAGACCUUACUUGGGAAGGUCACAAUUGCUGGAAAAUCAUGCGGGCCCUUCUCUGAAGCUGUACUAUUAUUUCAUCCACUGGAGAAGCCUUCGAUGUUCUCGCUUGUGAGCGGGGAAUUAUGUCUGAAAGUGUACACCAUUGACUUGGGAAGCAUACCACAUGAUGAGAGUUCACUACCACUACCACGAGAUGUACUAUUCCAACAUUUUAAAGGAAUCACAAAUAACUUGGAAAGCAUAUCACAGGAUGAGAGUUCAAGACCGCGAGAUGUAUCAUUGCAAUAUUUGAAAGAAAUCACAAAUAACUUUACCGACGAGCGAAUACUAGGCCACGGUGGUUUCGGUGUGGUAUAUAAGGGUGUGCUACAAAAUGGGGAGAUUAUUGCUGUGAAGAAGAUAGCGUCGUCAUUCAUGCUUGGCCAGAAGCAAUUUGAGAAUGAGGUUUAUCAUCUUAUGAUGCUUAAGCACCCUAAUAUAGUGCGAUUCAUAGGCUACUGCUAUGAAACACGAAAUGAGUGUUUAGAGUACGAAGGGAAACAUGUUUUUGCAGAGACGCCGGAAAGGUUACUUUGCUUGGAGUAUCUAUCCAAGGGAAGCCUUGAUAAGUAUAUAACAGAUGAAUCUUCCGGACUUGAUUGGAGCACACGCUACAAAAUAAUCGAGGGGGUUUGCUAUGGCUUAUGUUACCUCCAUGAGCAAACAGACAAGCCUAUUAUUCACCUUGACUUGAAGCCUGCAAACAUACUGCUCGAUGAUGAUAUGGUGCCGAAAAUCACCGACUUUGGUUUGUCAAGACCGCUUGAUAAACAAAAAACUGUUUGCACUUCAUCUCGUGACGGAACAUUUGGUUACAUGGCACCAGAAUUUUUACAUGAAGGUAAAAUCACACCAAAGUCAGACAUAUUCAGUUUGGGCGUAAUAAUCAUGGAGAUAGUAAUAGGAGACAGGAACUAUCCAGAUACUGGAACACCUUCAGAUGACUUUAUGGAGCUUGGGAAGCCAUCCUAG